rnacentral:rRNA from 1 species
AGCAGCCGCGGUAAUUCCAGCUCCAAUAGCGUAUAUUAAAGUUGUUGCAGUUAAAAAGCCCGUAGUUGAAUUUCGGGAUUAAUAUGUUGGUCGUGCCUUGGUACGUACUGGCAUUAUUGAUUCCUACCUUCUGAAGAACCUCGAUGUCAUUAAUUUGGUGUCUUGGGGAAUCAGGACCGUUACUUUGAAAAAAUUAGAGUGUUUAAAGCAGGCUCGCGCUUGAAUACAUUAGCAUGGAAUAAUGAAAUAGGACGUUUGAUUCUAUUUUGUUGGUUUCUAGGAUCGACGUAAUAAUUAAUAGGGAUAGUUGGGGGCAUUAGUAUUCAAUUGUCAGAGGUGAAAUUCUUGGAUUUAUUGAAGACUGACUACUGCGAAAGCAUUUGCCAAGGAUGUUUUCAUUAAUCAAGAACGAAAGUUAGGGGGUCGAAGACGAUCAGAUACCGUCGUAGUCUUAACCAUAAACUAUGCCGACUAGGGAUCGGAUGAUGUUAAUUUUUAAUGACUCAUUCGGCGCCUUACG